AUUGCUUUUCUUCUUUUUGUCAAUAUACAAAUUAAAUGGCAUUCAAAGUUCUUCUCUUCCAGUUGUUUUAUGGCAUGGAAUGGUAUUAAAUUUCAGGAGAUAGCUGUUGUUUCUCAUUUAGUUUGGGUGCAAUAAAAAAGCUAAUAGAGGCAACAGUUCCUAAUAUCUAUGUAUAUUCCAUUCGUAUAGGAAAUAAUGAAAUAGAGCAUCAAGAAGACUUGAGGUGAUAGAAAUAAAACAAGAAGUAAAAAAUCUGUGAUGUGUGUGUGUGUGCCAAAAGUGCUGUGAUUUCCCAUUAUGGUUGUGCAUUUAUGAAACUUGUUAAGAAAAUAGACAAUAGUACAACCGAAUAGGUGGUUGUUACAUCAUUUCAAAGAAGAUGACUGUGUGUAAGUUUACAAAAAUUCAUUUCUCCUUUAUUUGAACAAUAUUGAUCUUUGUAAUGCGUGGUCGCGCCGAAUCCUGCAUAUCAGUACUAUGUUUUUACAUUAAUUACAUUAAAUAUAUAUUUAAGCAGUUAAUAUUAUACAAAAUAUUAUUCAAGAUUUAUUCCGAAAUAGCUAUUUUAAUAGCUAACUGUUUGGCUUUUCUUAUCACAGCUAAAUCUGAUGCAGAUAACAAACCAUUUUCUUCGUAAAAAGAAAGUAGUGUAUCGGCUGCCGAAACUACAUUAUUUGGAUCAUUAUUUUCAGGUGGAGCGUCGUUGUCGUCGGUAUCUUCUAGAAAAACGCAUUUAUGUUAAUGUUUUCAACAUUUUCCUUUCUGAUGUGGAACACAGUUAUUUUGGAAAUAUCAACCAAGAUAUACAAGAGAUCUGCCAGCAACUAUCAGCAGAUAAACGUUUCAAAGAUGGUUAUAACGCUAUUGGAUUCUCGCAAGGUGCUCAAUUUCUGAGAGCACUAAUUCAAAGAUGCCCUAAUCCUCCGAUUAAGAAUUUUAUAUCUGUGGGUGGUCAACAUCAAGGUGUUUUUGGAUUGCCAAAUUGUGGAACUGUAAAGAAAAGCGUUUGCAAUUACGUAAACCGAAUGAUCAAAUAUGGAGCAUACUUAAAAUUUGUUCAAGAAAAGUUUAUUCAAGCUACUUAUUGGCACGAUCCGUAUCAAGAAGAAGAAUACAAAGAAAAGAGUACAUUUAUGGCGGAUAUCAACAAUGAACGGUAUAUUAAUGAGACGUAUAAAGAAAAUCUACAAAAGUUAAAUGCCAUGGUGCUAAUUAAAUUUGCUAAUGAUACGAUAGUUUGGCCUCGAGAAACAGAAUGGUUCGGAUUCUACAAACCGGGACAAGCAACAGAAAUUCAGACCUUUGAAGAAACUGAUUUAUAUCGCAAGGAUCAACUGGGACUAAAAGCACUAUUCGAAUCAGGAAAAAUUCAUUUCCUGUCAGUAGCUGGAAAUCACCUACAGUUUGCAGAAAGUUGGUUUAUCAACCAUAUAAUUAAAGCAUAUUUAAUAAUGAAGAGGCAAGCCGUUCCCAACGUAGCUUGAUUUCAGUGAUAUUACGGGCCUGUGCGGGUAUUAGUAAAGUCUACGUGAUUAAGACCGGUGACUCUUUCAUUUUAUAGUAUUUCUUCUAAUAUUUUUGGAACUGAUUGUACCAUGGUCGUUCGAUAAAUCGCCGCCAUAUUAACAUUCGGCUGGAAUGUCCCGCCAUCAUGAUGGUUCCCCAGAUGGUGCUAUGGAACGAAUACCGUUCCUGAAUUUCCAUGUACGGUACCAACCAUCACUUGCCUUAAAGGAUUCUGAACCACCAAAACGCUGAAAGAAUUCCUGAGCUUUUGCUGAAAAAAUUAAUGUUAUAAUCAAAGAAAACUUGUUAAAAGGGACGGCAUUGAUGAAACAUCAAUGUAAAAUCGCUGCAAAAUCAAGGCUAACAAAGGCAAGAAUUCAAAAUAGUGACUUACGGGAGAUCAAGAAGAUGAAACCAUUUAGAAAACUACGCGUUUUGUACCUGGCAAUAGUAAACUUAACCACAUUGAGCUGUAGUAAGUGUUCGAUAAUUGUUCACAAUGAAGAUUUCAGCAGCGGCGAUUUCCAGGAAACAGCCGUUUAUUGAGCAGCCAAUGGCAUGCGCGUUGUAACCAUAUUUAGGGUAGACUAUAAAUUUUUAAUAUUACGUGGAGCUAAAGUAUUUGUGUUUUUCCAAAAACAGCCACUCGAGUGGCUUCUUCGUUUUAAUAUUCCUUCUAAUCCUUUCGAAAUCGCCGUUGGAUAUAUUGGUUCCACAUAAACUCUCAGCUAGAAUGCUAUCGUCCAUACACAUGCGCGCGCACCUUGCUCUACUGUUCAUUCUUUAGCUGCUCGAUAAGUAGCCGUCUUCUACAAAAGCCCGUUUUUGAAAUCUCAAAUUCAGACCCUUACCAAAUAGCCAAUGUGGUGUAGAAUUCACAGAAUAAACGAGUUUCUGCUUCUGCUGCGUAUGUUAGCUUUGAUUAUUUCUAGCAAACUUUUGCAGGUUAAAAUUUCUAUAGUUUACUUCAGAACUUGUAGAAAAUACGGGUUCACUUCUCGUAUUACUGCUCAUAUUUUUUCAACAGAAAGAAAACUAAUUCGAUAAUUUUACAGUCCAAGUUUUUAUUCUGAAAAAGUAGGUGUUUACAUUGUUACAAUAUAAAAGUUAUAAUUCAACAUCUGAUGUACUUAAAAAAAUUGACAGAAUACUUUUCAGUACAUCGUUCUACAUAUUUAUAUAAAUAAUUUAUUACAUAACAAUAACAAAAUAGGUAAUUGUCCACUGAAAUUAAAUUUAGAUAAUAGUAAAAUUUUCUUACCUUAUGUUACAUUAAUCAAAGUAUAAUAGUAUAACUAUAAUACUUAUGAAGAAUAAGAAAGUAAUAAUUAAAGUACAUGUGAAAGAUUCAUGGUCCAUAUACCUUUUAAAUUGUAUCUUUUUUUAUACUUAUAACUUUUAAAUAAAGUUCACAAAAUAUUUUUAUAAA